rnacentral:rRNA from 1 species
GUGCCAGUAGCCGCGGUAAUACGAAAGGGGCUAGCGUUGUUCGGAGUUACUGGGCGUAAAGCGCGCGUAGGCGGCCUUGCAAGUUGGGGGUGAAAUCCCGGAGCUCAACUCCGGAACUGCCUUCAAAACUGCAAAGCUAGAGGAUGCGAGAGGUGAGCGGAAUUCCGAGUGUAGAGGUGAAAUUCGUAGAUAUUCGGAAGAACACCAGUGGCGAAGGCGGCUCACUGGCGCAUUUCUGACGCUGAGGCGCGAAAGCGUGGGGAGCAAACAGGAUUAGAUACCCUGGUAGUCCACGCCGUAAACGAUGAGGGCUAGUUGUCGGGCGGCUUGCCAUUCGGUGACGCAGCUAACGCAUUAAGCCCUCCGCCUGGGGAGUACGGUCGCAAGAUUAAAACUUAAAGGAAUUGACGGGG